rnacentral:lncRNA from 1 species
GCAAAUGUAUUAAUAAGGCAGAAAUGAACACAGUGACUGAACCUACAGGACAUCAUCUAGAAGAGCACCUUGUUUUCAGGUGUAGAUUUGGUCUUGAACAGACCAUGCUCAGAUUUGGCAGUAGUGGUCCAGUGAGGCUGAGUAUUGGCAGUAGGUUUAGCAUCUCGGUGUUCAGAGUGCUACGGGGAGUAAAUGUGCUGAGUGGGAAGCAGUCUCUGCCCAGAGAUUGUGCAGCCAGAGAAAAGACUGCAAGAAGAAAA